AGCAGCACCGUCACAUUCAGCACUGUCUGCUGCAGCUGGAGCUGGCCCAGCCGGCUGCUACAGAAAUACCUGCAGCUCAUGGUCCACGUGUUGUGGGGUCACAGGAUGGUUUGGAAGGGACGUCU
rnacentral:snoRNA from 1 species